CAAACUGAAAAACAAACAAACGGUGUCAUACAAAUUCCAUGUCUAUGCAUUGUCAACCACCUCCUCUUUUGGUAGAUGCAUUGUAUGGUUCCUAAUUCCUUUCCAUGGUUAACUGAUUUUUUAGCAAACAGAACAUUUAAACACCAUCAUUUCGUUGAGGAAUGCAAGUGGGAGUGGCUCAAAUGACAUGGUGAAGGGGCCUAGCAGCACACGUGACAAUGUGACACUCUUGUGGGAGACUGAACAGGGCCACUGGUGAUUGAACCAAAUAUCAGGCCGGUCUGCUUAUCAGGCUUGUUCUCUUUCAGUGAUUUGAGUUGUCGUUGAAAGAUAUUCGAAGAUUAGUCCCUGAACAAGAUAAAAAAGGAGUGACGGAAUUAAGAAACUUUGAUCAAGAUAGUGCUUUGUUGACCAUCAGGGAAAUCAUUCAGAAGGCAGGAUCACAAGAUUGAUGUGAAAUCUUUUUUUCUGAUGAAAGGAAUUGCAAAAUCGGUUACAGCUGUUGCAAGAAAUGCUCACUGAUGUGAAGUAUAGAUUAAGGAAAUGUCAAUAAUGCACUCCAAAUCAGAGUAAUGGAAGAAUCUUUGAUGAAAUCUCUUGAUUCACAUCGAGAACACUAGGGGCAUCAUUGUCUGCAGUUACCUAAUCACGGCAACAUACGGAAGCUUAAGUGAAGAUAUCGACUGAUAUUGACUUUCUGAUUGCUCAAUGAGAUGCUGCAUACUUGGUGGAAUUUUCAGAUACAGGUCGAACCUCAAACUCCAAUUUCCCAUUGACAAAUGGGAUACAAGUUUGUUCCUUCCAACAAAUACUGUUCUAUGAAC